UAAGAAACCAGAUAACGGAACUACUUAAAGAAUGUCUAAGUUAAGAGCAACAUGAAUGGGCUUUUGAAGUCUUGAAGGACCAUGCUAUGAGCUACUGCCUCACAGCCAAGAACCCAGGCUCCCACCCUGAGUGUGUUGACAGAGUCACUGCUUUAUCUAAGCAUGGGUGGAGAAAUUCUUAAAAACAGCCAUUCAACCCAGAAGAGACCGUUCCAUUAAAAGUGUUGUCCAAGCGGAGUUACCGUUCACUUAGCCAGCCUGAAACACAGCCAGUAACUACGAAGCCUCUGACGGACUGUCCUAGGAUUGUCCCAGUGCUCCCGGUGGCGGCAUCGAAAUAAGCUCAUUUCGCCAAAAUUGGAGAAGGGGAAAUUGAUUGCACAUAUAAUUCCAUCUGCUUCUUGGAAGGCCUGAACCAAAAUACUCCCGAAGAAGAACCAUGAUGCCAGCAUGUAAGAUCAACAUUUUUCCGCACUCUGCUACACAGUGUGGACAAAGAGUUGCAGAUACAUGAGAAAUGGUGACGCAAAUGAUGAGGAAUGGGGCAUAAUGAUGUCCCAAGAAGAGACAACAUCAUGGUUGAAAGCUCAGAAGUCAACAAGAAUGGGGUGCGUUCAAGAAACCUACCGAAUCUCACGCAACACAAUGGGGAGAUGCAGGCUCUGACUUUAAGGACUUUUACCACUCAGUUAUCUCGUCCUAAAACCCAGCUUCCUCCCUUGCAUCCAACUGGUCGUACUAUUUCUCUCUGAAAUCUGCUCCCUCUUCCUCAUCUGCACAGAUGCAUCCUUCAUUUCAUCACUCCUUUCGCUUCCAGACCUCCACAAAGUCUUCCUGAAAGUCCCCCUGCUCCGAAGACCCUGAAGGCAGAGCAUCCCUAAUGGGAACUGAAACCCUUCUCCAGCCCCAGGAGCUGCCCUGAGAUUCAAGACCCGCUGCGUGAUUGACCCCAAGACAAUGAGCUGACUUUUACUGCCCAUUUUCAUGGACCCUCCGACCUUUGUCCCACAUUAUCCGUAUGUAAACCUAGAAGCAUUUUUGACACUUUGGAGACAGUCUUUGAGACACGAAUCCCCUGUCUUCACAGCAUUGGCCUUCCUGAAAUAAAUUCCUCUCCUUUUUCACCGCCA